AACAUUAGUGGAAGCGAAUUGUUGACAAAGACGCAACGCGAACAGAAUGCGCACGCCAAGUAGCCUAUAGCCUCUGUUGUGAGCGCAGAUAGAUGCGUCUGAGAUGUCCAUAGACCUAAAAGAAAUGGACAAACAGACUCCGUCGUUCUCAAUGAGAGGGGGCUGAAACAAAAAAUCGUUUCCUGUUCAUCGUACUGCGCAGACUCAAACUCAUUUUGUGACGUUGGCCGCCCUGAACAUUGCUGUAACUCGUCUGAUAGAUGUUCAUACAGAUAUUUUGCCAUUCGACCUCGACUGACUGCGAUUUCUUGGAUCUUGUAAGUACAAUCUGAUUCUUUUUUAAACAUAUUUUUAGUCUUUGUCUGAAUCACUCAUUUCUUGCAAAAUGGUAUUUCUGUACUGUUAAGUCGAUGAUCACGUUUUUAAAAACCUAUAUCGAAUAGAUUAAUAAAGCGUUAGACUCGCUAAAGUCUAGCUAUGGCUAAAGUCUGAAGUGGAUAGCAAAAGAAAACCGUUAGAGGCAGACAGGCUAACUUUUUACUGUUCAUUAUAGUUUCACUAACGUCAAUCGUAAUGUCGACCGUCAGUAUUUAUCAGUAUUUAUCAGUAGAUUGUAAAUUAUUAGAAGUGUUAUAUCCUUUAGUAGUGUUUGUACUCUAGGCGCCAGUUAGCAUGUAACAGCAUGUGAAUGAAUGAACUGGCCACACUAGCAUGGUGCAUUUAUACCUGACGAUCUCUUUCAAGACAUUUGAAUAAAAAACGGACAUCAUGGUUAGUAUUUAUAGGGUCUGUACAUGUGGUCCCUAGCCUGGUUUGUCUGAGAAUUAAGUAGAAAUAUCCUUUAGAAGUGUUUGUACUUUAGGCGCUAGUUAGCAUGUAACAGCAUCUGAAUGAAUGAACUGACCACUACUGUAUGGUGCAUUUAUACCUGACGAUCUCUUUCAAGUCAUUUAAAUAAAACAUGGAUAUCAUGGUUAGUAUUUGUAGAGUCUGUAAAUGUGGCCCCUUGCUUGGUUUGUCUGAAAAUUAAGUGGAAAUAUCCUUUAGAAGUGUUUGUACUUUAGGCGCUAGUUAGCAUGUGCCAGGUGUCAUACCAUUGCAGUAAUCAUCUCACUAAACACGUCUUUUCAUAUCCAAUCUGUUCAACAGAGUUUACCAGUCAGACCACUACACCUUUGCCAGCACCACCACCCAGCAAGCUUCAUCAACUCCAGCCAUGCCGAUUUUUACAGACUUGUUCUGCAGCACUUCCGAACAAUUGAGGAGGAGCUGGGGUAAAGCAGCAGGUGGCUGUGAACACAUCUAUGCUGCAGAAGCUAGGUGGUGGUGGUGUGGCGGAUCUUGGCCUCGUGGAGGACAACAACAGGCCAUUGAGUAAUGUUGAGGACCUGGACGAGUUGGAGAGGCGGCUUGCAUCCGAUGCGGACCUGAAAAAUCAACUGGUGAACAUACUUGGGAGGGAAAACCACCGAGAUGCUGUUAAGAGGAUGCUGGGCCGGGCUUUGAGGAGGUCCCUGGCGCUCCAAAUUAAUUAGACUGGUGCAGCAGGAAAGGUGGCUUUUAAGUCCUUACACCUGAAGAGUGUGUUGCAUAUUAAUAUCAUUAUUAAAAAUAAUUUUAAUAAAUUGUUUAAGCAUGUAGAAGAAAUAAAGCAUGUAAAUGAGCAUGUAAAAGAAAUAAAUAAACAAAAUGUAUUGAACCUAAUACUAUGUGUGGUGAGUCUGUGUGAUAGUUGCUGAGGAUAAAUGUUUUUAUAUUGGAUUAUUAA